AGCUUGCUAAUAAUUCUCUAGUGGCGCACGCGUGAGUAACACGUGAGUAACCUGCCCCCGAGAGCGGGAUAGCCCUGGGAAACUGGGAUUAAUACCGCAUAGUAUCGAAAGAUUAAAGCAGCAAUGCGCUUGGGGAUGGGCUCGCGGCCUAUUAGUUAGUUGGUGAGGUAACGGCUCACCAAGGCGAUGACGGGUAGCCGGUCUGAGAGGAUGUCCGGCCACACUGGAACUGAGACACGGUCCAGACACCUACGGGUGGCAGCAGUCGAGAAUCAUUCACAAUGGGGGAAACCCUGAUGGUGCGACGCCGCGUGGGGGAAUGAAGGUCUUCGGAUUGUAAACCCCUGUCAUGUGGGAGCAAAUUAAAAAGAUAGUACCACAAGAGGAAGAGACGGCUAACUCUGUGCCAGCAGCCGCGGUAAUACAGAGGUCUCAAGCGUUGUUCGGAAUCACUGGGCGUAAAGCGUGCGUAGGCUGUUUCGUAAGUCGUGUGUGAAAGGCGCGGGCUCAACCCGCGGACGGCACAUGAUACUGCGAGACUAGAGUAAUGGAGGGGGAACCGGAAUUCUCGGUGUAGCAGUGAAAUGCGUAGAUAUCGAGAGGAACACUCGUGGCGAAGGCGGGUUCCUGGACAUUAACUGACGCUGAGGCACGAAGGCCAGGGGAGCGAAAGGGAUUAGAUACCCCUGUAGUCCUGGCAGUAAACGGUGCACGCUUGGUGUGCGGGGAAUCGACCCCCUGCGUGCCGGAGCUAACGCGUUAAGCGUGCCGCCUGGGGAGUACGGUCGCAAGAUUAAAACUCAAAGAAAUUGACGGGGACCCGCACAAGCGGUGGAGUAUGUGGCUUAAUUCGAUGCAACGCGAAGAACCUUACCUGGGCUUGAC
rnacentral:rRNA from 1 species